rnacentral:rRNA from 1 species
UACGUAGGUGGCGAGCGUUGUCCGGAUUUACUGGGCGUAAAGAGCGCGCAGGCGGUCGUUCAAGUCGCGUGUGAAAGCCCCCGGCUCAACUGGGGAGGGUCACGCGAUACUGAUCGACUCGAAGGCAGGAGAGGGAAGUGGAAUUCCCGGUGUAGUGGUGAAAUGCGCAGAUAUCAGGAAGAACACCAAUGGCGAAGGCAGCUCUCUGGGACGGUACUGACGCUGAGACGCGGAAGCGUGGGGAGCGAACAGG